rnacentral:snRNA from 1 species
AUACCUUUCUCUGCCUUUUGGCUAAGAUCAAGUGUAGUAUCUGUUCUUAUCAUACUCCCUCCGUUUCGUAAUAUAAGUUUUGGCUAAAAGCGCGAAGAUUAAGAAAAUUAUUAUGUUUUUAAAAAGUAUU